AAAAUUCUUCCUAAUGUUUAGGAAUGUCUUGUCCUUUCUUGUAGUUUGAAUCCAUUGGAGCUUCAGGAAACAAGCUUGCUCCAUCUUCUAGCUUCAGAUAUUUGAAGAUGGCUGUCAUAUCACUUCUCAGUCUCCUCUUCUUCCAGGCUAAGCAUGCCUAUCUCCUUCAAACA